rnacentral:rRNA from 1 species
AGAGUUUGAUCCUGGCUCGGAUUGAACGCUGGCGGCAUGCCUUACACAUGCAAGUCGAACGGCAGCGGACCUUCGGGUGCCGGCGAGUGGCGAACGGGUGAGUAAUGUAUCGGAACGUACCUUUCAGUGGGGGAUAACGUAGCGAAAGUUACGCUAAUACCGCAUAUUCUGUGAGCAGGAAAGCAGGGGAUCGCAAGACCUUGCGCUGAUUGAGCGGCCGAUAUCAGAUUAGCUAGUUGGUGAGGUAAAGGCUCACCAAGGCGACGAUCUGUAGCGGGUCUGAGAGGAUGAUCCGCCACACUGGAACUGAGACACGGUCCAGACUCCUACGGGAGGCAGCAGUGGGGAAUUUUGGACAAUGGGGGCAACCCUGAUCCAGCCAUGCCGCGUGAGUGAAGAAGGCCUUCGGGUUGUAAAGCUCUUUCGGCCGGGAAG